CUGGCUCUCUCAUCUUUGUAUAGGUGCCUGAGGCUCGCUCCCUAGGCCAGGGAGAUGGGUAGGAGGGGUAGGACAGGCCCUGCCCUCCCCACCAUCCCUCAUGUGGUUCUUCUGGGCCUUCCUUGUGCUGGUUCACCCUCUGGGGGGCCCUCCUCUGGGGCCCCCCAGCUGCCCUUGGGAGCCCUUUGAGGUUCUUACAGCUGUCAUGGAGGCCAUAGUGAGUGGGCAGGCUGGUGGUGGGUGGGAACUGGGUGAGGACAGCAGCUGGUGGAGAUGGGAGGUGGGAAAGGAGCCUGGGUGAUCUGGAGGCCACUCAUCCCCCUCCAAUCCCAGGGCAACAGAAAUGAUGGCAUCCUUUAUACUCCGGACAGUCUCUCUACAGGUGAUGACACGUUGCUGCUCUCCUCAUCCCGAUGAGGCACCUUCUACCUUCCUGCUUCUGCCUUUAGGAUUCCUGAAGUUCCCCCUCCCUCCCACCCCUCCCCAGGCCAUGUCCAGCCCCUGGCACUUGGCUGGGCACCGAGUUGGCAUUUAUAUGUUUAUCAAAUAAAUGAAUCAAAAUCAGGAAGUGAUUGAUCUAUAAACAACAUUCUAAGGGCACAGGGAGGCUUGUGAAAUACUUAAUCGAUCUGGACCUUGCUGCCAGUUGGGUGACCCCUUCUACAUAACCUGGAACUGGAUAGAUUUUUCCUCCCAUAUCCUGCCCCUCUCCCCAACCUGAGACCCAGUCUCAUGACCUUGCAGUGAGAGCUGCUUCCUAGCCUGAAUCCCCAAUGACCUCUGCUUCCCACCAAACCCCAUGUAUCUUGCAGAGACUGCUGGCCAGGGGAAGCCUUCCUAAGUCCAGCUUUGAGGCUGGACACUCCUUCCCCGUUUAGAAGCUUUCCAUGGCUUCCCAUUGCCUACUGUCUCAGGCUUUUCAGUGUCACUGCCUAGAUCCCUUGUGAUCCGACCUCUUCCAUCC
rnacentral:lncRNA from 1 species